CGUGCACUGGUGGGGUCCCUCGGCCUGGCCUGUGCCCUCUCGCAAUCCAGGACCCCUCGGGGGAUGUCAGACUUCCAGUUUUGGCCCAAACCCCACAGGCCAGGCCGAGGGACCCCACUGGUGCACA
rfam:Myotis brandtii contig283124, whole genome shotgun sequence.